GACGUGGGGGGCCAGCGUUGCUCGGAAUUACUGGGCGUAAAGGGUUCGUAGGCGGUGUGGCAAGUCGGGAGUGAAAUCUCUGGGCUUAACUCAGAGGCUGCUUCCGAAACUGCCGUGCUAGAGUGCGGGAGAGGCGAGUGGAAUUGCAGGUGUAGCGGUGAAAUGCGUAGAUAUCAGGAGGAACACCUGUGGCGAAAGCGGCGCACUGGACCACAACUGACGCUGAGGCGCGAAAGCUAGGGGAGCAAACAGG
rnacentral:rRNA from 1 species